rnacentral:rRNA from 1 species
UACGGAGGGGGCUAGCGUUGUUCGGAAUUACUGGGCGUAAAGCGCACGUAGGCGGAUCGGAAAGUCAGAGGUGAAAUCCCAGGGCUCAACCUUGGAACUGCCUUUGAAACUCCUGGUCUUGAGUUCGAGAGAGGUGAGUGGAAUUCCGAGUGUAGAGGUGAAAUUCGUAGAUAUUCGGAGGAACACCAGUGGCGAAGGCGGCUCACUGGCUCGAUACUGACGCUGAGGUGCGAAAGCGUGGGGAGCAAACAGG